GCGGGAAUUCGGGAUAAAGGGGGGUGAGGAGAGGGAUUGAUGGGAAUGAGUUGGGAAUUCGGGAUAAAGGGGGGUGAGGAGAGGGAUUGAUGGGAAUGAGGUGGGAAUGAGGUGGGAAUGAGGUGGGAAUUCAGGAUAACAGGGGGCUGAGGACAGGGAUUGAUGGGAAUGAGGUGGGAAUUCGGGAUAAAGGGGAGCUGGAUUGCUGCGGGGAGAUGGGAAUGAGUUGGGAAUUCGGGAUAAAGGGGGG